rnacentral:rRNA from 1 species
UAAUGUGAAUUGCAGAAUUCAGUGAAUCAUCGAAUCUUCGAACGCACCUUGCGCUCCUUGGUAUUCCGAGGAGCAUGCCUGUUUGAGUGUCAUUAAAUUCUCAACCCCUCCAGCUUUUGCGAGUUGUGAUGGGGCUUGGAUCUGGGAGUUUGCGGGUCUUUAUCAAUAAAGGUCAGCUCUCCUGAAAUGCAUUAGCGGAACCGUUUGCAGUCCCGUCACUAGUGUGAUAAUUAUCUACACUGUGAUGAUUGCUCUCUGACUAGUUCAGCUGCUAAUCGUCCACUAUGGACAACACUUAAUGAACUUCUUGACCUCAAAUCAGGUAGGACUACCCGCUGAACUUAAGCAUAUCAAUAAGCGGAGGAAAAGAAACUAACAAGGAUUCCCCUAGUAACUGCGAGUGAAGCGGGAAAAGCUCAAAUUUAAAAUCUGGCGGUCUCUGGCCGUCCGAGUUGUAAUCUAGAGAAGUGAUGCCCGCGCUGGACCGUGUACAAGUCUCCUGGAAUGGAGCGUCAUAGAGGGUGAGAAUCCCGUCUCUGACACGGACUACCAGGGCUUUGUGGUAUCCUCUCAAAGAGUCGAGUUGUUUGGGAAUGCAGCUCUAAAUGGGUGGUAAAUUCCAUCUAAAGCUAAAUAUUGGCGAGAGACCGAUAGCGAACAAGUACCGUGAGGGAAAGAUGAAAAGAACUUUGGAAAGAGAGUUAAACAGUACGUGAAAUUGCUGAAAGGGAAACGCUUGAAGUCAGUCGCGUUGGCCAGGAAUCAGCCUCACUCUUGUGUGGUGUACUUUCUGGUUGACGGGUCAGCAUCAAUUUUGACUGCUGGAAAAAGGCUUAGGGAAUGUGGCAGCUUCGGCUGUGUUAUAGCCCUUUGUCACAUACAGCGGUUGGGAUUGAGGAACUCAGCACGCCGCAAGGCCGGGUUUCGACCACGUUCGUGCUUAGGAUGCUGGCAUAAUGGCUUUAAGCGACCCGUCUUGAAACACGGACCAAGGAGUCUAACAUGCCUGCGAGUGUUUGGGUGGUAAACCCGAGCGCGUAAUGAAAGUGAAAGUUGAGAUCCCUGUCGUGGGGAGCAUCGACGCCCGGACCUGAACUUUUGUGACGGAUCCGCGGUAGAGCAUGUAUGUUGGGACCCGAAAGAUGGUGAACUAUGCCUGAAUAGGGUGAAGCCAGAGGAAACUCUGGUGGAGGCUCGUAGCGAUUCUGACGUGCAAAUCGAUCGUCAAAUUUGGGUAUAGGGGCGAAAGACUAAUCGAACCAUC